rnacentral:rRNA from 1 species
GCACAAGCGGUGGAUGAUGUGGAUUAAUUCGAUGCAACGCGAAAACCUUACCUACCCUUGACAUGUCCGGAAUCCCGAAGAGAUUUGGGAGUGCUCGCAAGAGAGCCGUAACACAGGUGCUGCAUGGCUGUCGUCAGCUCGUGUCGUGAGAUGUUGGGUUAAGUCCCGCAACGAGCGCAACCCUUGUCAUUAGUUGCUACAUUCAGUUGGGCACUCUAAUGAGACUGCCGGUGACAAACCGGAGGAAGGUGGGGAUGACGUCAAGUCCUCAUGGCCCUUAUAGGUGGGGCUACACACGUCAUACAAUGGAUGGUACAAAGGGUCGCCAACCCGCGAGGGGGAGCCAAUCCCAUAAAGCCAUUCGUAGUCCGGAUCGCAGUCUGCAACUCGACUGCGUGAAGUCGGAAUCGCUAGUAACCGCGUAUCAGCAUGGCGCGGUGAAUACGUUCUCGGGCCUU